GAGACAAGCAUAUGACUACUGGCAGGAUCAACCAGGUAGCAUUCCUUCGAGACGCCAGCACCCGCAUGAGCCCCGCUAAGCUGUGAGGCCGCGGGCUCAAAAGCAGGCGCAGCAGUCAUUCGUGUCAUUGGACAAAAUGCAUUGCUUGAUUAGAUGGAGGCCUGCGACAGACCAGCCACCCACAGCACAUAACGUUCCACAUCCGAGAGCACAAGCAAAGAACCUCAUGAGCCAAGACAGCCACCCAACAAGGCGAGGCAUGCUAGGAACACCAGGCUUGCAUGACGUCCACCCCACCACCCGUGAGGGCAUAGGGCGAAAAGAAACAAACAAACCAUCAAAUUCCUUCAAUAGGUAAGCAACACAG
rnacentral:misc_RNA from 1 species